GAUGAACGCUGGCGGCGUGCCUAAUACAUGCAAGUCGAGCGAAGCGGCGGACGGGUGAGUAAUGUAUAGCUAAUCUGCCCUACACUAGAGGACAACAGUUGGAAACGGCUGCUAAUACUCUAUAGUGUAGGAUGAGGCUAUAUUGUAUCAGCUAGUUGGUGAGGUAAUGGCUCACCAAGGCUAUGACGCAUAACUGGUCUGAGAGGAUGAUCAGUCACACUGGAACUGAGACACGGUCCAGACUCCUACGGGAGGCAGCAGUAGGGAAUAUUGCUCAAUGGGGGAAACCCUGAAGCAGCAACGCCGCGUGGAGGAUGACACUUUUCGGAGCGUAAACUCCUUUUGUUAGGGAAGCGGUACCUAACGAAUAAGCACCGGCUAACUCCGUGCCAGCAGCCGCGGUAAUUC
rnacentral:rRNA from 1 species